CGGCGAACUCCGGUCAGCUGACACAUCCCGGCCAAUCUCCAACAGACCCUCCCAGAACCUCCUACUUCCUGGACAGCAUGCAUGUUGAAAGUAGUAGGGUCUGGGAGGGAGGGUCUGCUGGAGAUUGGCCGGGAUGUGUCAGCUGACCGG